rnacentral:rRNA from 1 species
AUGUGUGAUCAACAUCAAGAAUCCAUGCAGCACCUGAUGUUAGAAUGUAGCUUUGCAAAUCAGAUUUGGCUGGCGGUAGGCAGACUUGCCAACAAGGAGGUGGUUCAGCACAGGUAUGGGGAAUCGCUUGAGCAAUGGUGCCUGCGGCAGGAGGAUGUCUCGGCUAACCGGAAAGCGCACAGAGCGAAGUGUCUACUGGUCAUGUGGACAAUAUGGAAGCAUAGGAUUGAUGUGGUGUUUAAUGGAGCAACGCCAUCAUUUCAACAAGCCAUGCAACGGAUUCAUGAGGAAGGACAACUGUGGGCGAAGCAGGCCUCUUCAAGGAGGAUAAUAUCGGGUUCGAGGUAG